rnacentral:rRNA from 1 species
UACGUAGGGUGCGAGCGUUGUCCGGAAUUAUUGGGCGUAAAGAGCUCGUAGGCGGUUUGUUGCGUCUAUCGUGAAAACCUGCAGCUUAACUGUGGGCUUGCGGUGUAUACGGGCAGACUUGAGUUCGGUAGGGGAGACUGGAAUUCCUGGUGUAGCGGUGAAAUGCGCAGAUAUCAGGAGGAACACCGGUGGCGAAGGCGGGUCUCUGGGCCGAUACUGACGCUGAGGAGCGAAAGCGUGGGGAGCGAACAGG